CAAAGUGCUGGGAUUACAAGCGUGAGCCACCGCGACCCGCCAACACUCUUGACAACAGUGCUGUGCUAAGAACUUGGGGGACUUCAAAAAGUUCACCAGUUCCUGUGUCCAUGGGUGAAAAGAUUUUCUACAUCUUUCCUUGACUAGAAACAGAAGUCCUGAAACAAGAAUAUAACGUCAGGAGGCCAGAGGCUUUGUCCUGCCUAAUGUGUUAUUUCCACACUGAAUAAAAGCACCUGAGUCCUGCAUUUUAAAAAGGUUGUACAUCUAGCAAUACCUAACAAAAUAGGAAAUCAACUUGCCAAUGGCUGUGUUUUGAGUUUAUGGAGAGCCAUAUGUGGCAAGGAACUGAGGGUGGCAUCCAGGCAACAGACUUCAAGAAACUGAGGCUGUCAGUCCAACAACCCACAAGAACUGAAUCUGACCAACAAUCACAGGAACAAACUUAGAAGUAUACUCUUUCCCAGACAAACCUUCAGAUGAGACCACAGCCCCAGCCAUAAGCUUGAAAACAAUCUCAUGAGGGACCUUGAGCCACAGGCAUGUAGUAAAGCUAUGCCAGGAAUCCUGCCUGCCCCACAGAAAAUGUAAAAAAAAUAAAUUUUUAUUGUUUUAA
rnacentral:lncRNA from 1 species